AUUGAACGCUAGCGGCAUGCUUUACACAUGCAAGUCGAGCGAGUGGCGGACGGGUGAGUAAUGUAUCGGAACCUGCCCGGUAGCGGGGGAUAACUACUCGAAAGAGUGGCUAAUACCGCAUACUAUUGGAUCAGCCCAUAUCGGAUUAGCUAGUUGGUGGGGUAAAGGCUCACCAAGGCAACGAUCCGUAGCUGGUUUGAGAGGACGACCAGCCACACUGGGACUGAGACACGGCCCAGACUCCUACGGGAGGCAGCAGUGGGGAAUUUUGGACAAUGGGGGAAAGCCUGAUCCAGCCAUCCCGCGUGUAUGAGAAGGCCUUCGGGUUGUAAAGUACUUUUGGCAGAGAAGCGGUACCUGCAGAAGAAGCACCGGCUAACUACGUGCCAGCAGCCGCGGUAAUUC
rnacentral:rRNA from 1 species